ensembl:lncRNA
CUUUUUUCCAGUGUGUUUUCCAUCUUCCUGCUACUUAAUCAUAAAUUGCACACACAGACUGACCCAAAGCAACUCUCCUCUAUAGGACAUAUCCAGCAACAGCACUCAACAUCCGUGUGGCCUAGAAGAUCUGCUUACAUCCAGAGACAACAUCAGUGUCUAAACACCUCUGUCAAACUUAUUAACACAUGCAAGACCUCACCUGCUGCACUGCUGUAAAAUGGGGAGACAUCUGGGUCAGCAAUUCACAGGUGGAGAAGGGAUCAUCAUUCUGGUGUUCUGCCAAGAGCUGCACCUUCCACUGAGAGGUUUCACACAGACUGCUCACUUACUAAAGCUUUAGAAAGGAUGUCAGCUAAAGACCACCUCCAGCUGUGGGCAGUGACUUCUAAACUCUUUC